UCUUCUAUGAACUUCUUAAGUUAAGGAAAGACCUCAUACUUCAUUCUCCCCUUCCAAAUUCCAAGCAAAGUCAAGAAUCCAUCUCAAUUCUUAUUUAUUGGAAUAAUUCUGAGCAAAACUCAAAAAGGUAGGGACACAGACAAGUCACCCCUAUACUCAGGCAGCUGACAGUCCAGCAGGAGGAACAAAGUAGCCUGUCAACUCUCUCCAGCGUGACAUGUGCCAUGAGAGGUCUGAGAAACAGAUCAUGUCCAAGUAUAGGUACAGUGAAGAGAUCAGGAAAGGCUUCUUGAAGAAGGCAACAUUCCAGACGACUUAAAGAUGGGGCAUCACAGUUGGGACAGGUAUGACUCCAGGAAUUCAGAGUCUGAAAUCAAGUCUACCCAAAACCAAAGGAUCUGUAACAUGAAGAGCAAGACAUCAUAUGUUGGUUAGUGACAUCUGUGAUGGAGGCUUUAAGUGAAUACAGGAGGAGCAUGCCUAUUUAAAAAGAAAGCUUUAAACAUUAACUACAAGGGAAAACAGAGUUUAUGAAAAUAACUUUGCU
rnacentral:lncRNA from 10 species